AGCAGCCGCGGUAAUUCCAGCUCCAAUAGCGUAUAUUAAAGUUGUUGCAGUUAAAAAGCUCGUAGUUGAAUUUCGGGAUCAAAGGAUCGGUCAUGCCUUGGUAUGUACUGGUUUUAUUGGUUCUCACCUUCUAAAGAACCAUAAUGUCAUUCAUUUGAUGUUAUGGGGAAUUAGGACUGUUACCUUGAAAAAAUUAGAGUGUUUAAAGCAGGCUUACGCUUGAAUACAUUAGCAUGGAAUAAUGAAAUAGGACAUCAGAUUCUAUUUUGUUGGUUUCUAGGAUCGAUGUAAUGAUUAAUAGGGAUAGUUGGGGGCAUUAGUAUUCAAUUGUCAGAGGUGAAAUUCUUGGAUUUAUUGAAGACUAACUACUGCGAAAGCAUUUGCCAAGGAUGUUUUCAUUAAUCAAGAACGAAAGUUAGGGGAUCGAAGACGAUCAGAUACCGUCGUAGUCUUAACCAUAAACUAUGCCGACUAGGGAUCGGAUGAUGUUAAUUUANAAUGACUC
rnacentral:misc_RNA from 1 species